GACAGAGGGUGCAAACGUUGUUCGGAAUUACUGGGCGUAAAGCGCGUGUAGGCGGCCCUGUAAGUCGGGUGUGAAAUCCCACGGCUCAACCGUGGAAGUGCAUUCGAAACUACAGGGCUAGAGUUCUGGAGAGGAAGGUGGAAUGCUUGGUGUAGAGGUGAAAUUCGUAGAUAUCAAGCGGAACACCGGUGGCGAAGGCGGCCUUCUGGACAGUAACUGACGCUGAGGUGCGAAAGCGUGGGGAGCAAACAGG
rnacentral:rRNA from 1 species